rnacentral:rRNA from 1 species
UGGGGAAUCAUGGUCAAUGGGCGAAAGCCUGAUGCAGCAACGCCGCGUGAGCGAAGAAGGCCUUUGGGUCGUAAAGCUCUGUCCUUGGGGAAGAUAAUGACGGUACCCAUGGAGGAAGCCCCGGCUAACUACGUGCCAGCAGCCGCGGUAAUACGUAGGGGGCGAGCGUUAUCCGGAAUUAUUGGGCGUAAAGAGUGCGUAGGUGGUUCUUUAAGCGUGAGGUGAAAGGCAAUGGCUUAACUAUUGUAAGCCUUGCGAACUGGAGAACUUGAGUGCAGGAGAGGUAAGUGGAAUUCCUAGUGUAGCGGUGAAAUGCGUAGAUAUUAGGAGGAACACCAGUGGCGAAGGCGACUUACUGGACUGUAACUGACACUGAGGCACGAAAGCGUGGGGAGCAAACA